GCAUAUCAAUAAGCGGAGGAAAAGAAAAUAACAAUGAUUUCCUUAGUAACGGCGAGUGAAGAGGAAAAAGCUCAAAGUUGUAACCUAUUUGGCUUAGCCAAAUCGGAUUGUAGACUGGAGAAGUGUUUUAUGGCACGCCGAGUGAAAAAGUCCCUUGGAACAGGGCAUCAUAGAGGGUGAGAAUCCCGUGAAUUCACUUGAGUAUAUGUUGUCAACUUUAAUACACUUUCAAAGAGUCAGGUUGUUUGGGAAUGCAGCCUAAAUUGGGUGGUAAAUCUCACCUAAAGCUAAAUAUUGGCGAGAGACCGAUAGCGAACAAGUACCGUGAGGGAAAGAUGAAAAGAACUUUGAAAAGAGAGUUAAACAGUACGUGAAAUUGUUAAAAGGGAACCGUUUGGAGCCAGACCGGCUUUAUCGUAAUCAAUCUAGGUUUCGACCUGGAUGCACUUGCGGUAGAUUUGCCUGCCAACGACAGUUUUUUUUGAGGGAAAAAACUAGGAGGAAUGUGGCCCUUAACUUGUUAGGGGUGUUAUAGCCUUUUAGAAAAUACCUUGAAUUGGACUGAGGAACGCAGCGAAUGCUCUUUAGGGCGAAAUAGUUGAGUGCUUUGGCUGAUAGAUGCUAGAAUUUCUGCUUCGGGUGGUGCUAGUGUUUAAAGGUUAAACUCGCUUGAUUCAUUUUUUAUUCGCUUAGGUUGUUGGCUUAAUGACUCUAAAUGACCCGUCUUGAAACACGGACCAAGGAGUCCACCAUAGGUGCGAGUAUUUGGGUGGCAAACCCCUAUGCGUAAGGAAACUGAUGGAUACCAAGUCGCAAGACAGCAGUAUCACCCGGCGUUGACGUUUUAUACUGAACUGACCGAGGUAAAGCACUUAUGAUGGGACCCGAAAGAUGGUGAACUAUGCCUGAAUAGGGUGAAGCCGGAGGAAACUCCGGUGGAGGCUCGUAGCGAUUCUGACGUGCAAAUCGAUCGUCAAAUUUGGGUAUAGGGGCGAAAGACUAAUCGAACCAUCUAGUAGCUGGUUCCUGCGA
rnacentral:rRNA from 1 species